rnacentral:rRNA from 1 species
GCUUACUGCCAUACCACCCUGAACACGCCCGAUCUCGUCCGAUCUCGGAAGCUAAGCAGGGUCGGCCUGGUUAGUACUUGGAUGGGAGACCGCCUGGAAUACCAGUGCUGUAAGCU